AUACGUAGGAGGCUAGCGUUGUCCGGAUUUACUGGGCGUAAAGGGGGCGCAGGUGGCUGGGUAGGUCCGUGGUGCAAGCUCCAGGCUUAACUUGGAGAGGUCCACGGAAACCGCUUGGCUUGAGGGCGGUAGAGGAGCACGGAAUUCCGGGUGUAGUGGUGAAAUGCGUAGAUAUCCGGAGGAACACCUGAGGCGAAAGCGGUGCUCUGGGCCGUUCCUGACACUCAGGCCCGAAAGCGUGGGGAGCAAACCGGAUUAGAAACCCGGGUAGUCC
rnacentral:rRNA from 1 species